GUGCCAGCCGCCGCGGUAAUACGUAGGGGGCGAGCGUUGUCCGAAUUCACUGGGCGUAAAGCGCGCGUAGGCGGGCUUUUAAGUUGUGGGUGAAAUCCCGAGGCUUAACCUCGGAGCUGCCUGCAAAACUGGAAGCCUUGAGGUUUGGAGAGGGAAGUGGAAUUCCAGGUGUAGCGGUGAAAUGCGUAGAUAUCUGGAGGAACACCCGUGGCGAAGGCGGCUUCCUGGCCAUAUCCUGACGCUGAGGUGCGAAAGCUAGGGGAGCGAACGGGAUUAGAUACCCGCGUAGUCC
rnacentral:rRNA from 1 species